GACGAACGCUGGCGGCGUGCCUAAUACAUGCAAGUCGAACGCAGUGGGGACGGGUGAGUAACACGUGGGUAACCUCCCAUCAGAGGGGAUAACACUUGGAAACAGGUGCUAAACCGAUACUGAUGGAUGGACCCGCUGUGCGUUGGCUAGUUGGUGGGGUAACGGCUACACAAGGCCAGGAUGCAUAGCCGACCUGAGAGGGUGAUCGGCCACACUGGGACUGAGACACGACCCAGACUCCUACGGUAGGCAGCAGUAGGGAAGCUUCGGCAAUGGAAGAAAGUCGGACCGAGCAACGCCGCGUGAGUGAAGAAGGGUUUCGGAUCGUAAAACUCUGUUGUUAGAGAAGCGGUAUCUAACCAGAAAGCCACGGCGAACUACGUGCCAGCAGCCGCGGUAAUAC
rnacentral:rRNA from 1 species